rnacentral:rRNA from 1 species
AUUGAACGCUGGCGGCAGGCCUAACACAUGCAAGUCUAGCGGAUGAAGGGAGCUUGCUCCUGGAUUCAGCGGCGGACGGGUGAGUAAUGCCUAGGACUCUGCCUGGUAGUGGGGGAUAACGUCCGGAAACGGGCGCUAAUACCGCAUACGUCCUGAGGGAGAAAGUGGGGGAUCUUCGGACCUCACGCUAUCAGAUGAGCCUAGGUCGGAUUAGCUAGUUGGUGGGGUAAAGGCCUACCAAGGCGACGAUCCGUAACUGGUCUGAGAGGAUGAUCAGUCACACUGGAACUGAGACACGGUCCAGACUCCUACGGGAGGCAGCAGUGGGGAAUAUUGGACAAUGGGCGAAAGCCUGAUCCAGCCAUGCCGCGUGUGUGAAGAAGGUCUUCGGAUUGUAAAGCACUUUAAGUUGGGAGGAAGGGCAGUAAGUUAAUACCUUGCUGUUUUGACGUUACCAACAGAAUAAGCACCGGCUAACUUCGUG